UACAGAGGGGGCAAGCGUUGUUCGGAAUUACUGGGCGUAAAGGGCGCGUAGGCGGCCUGCUAAGUCGAACGUGAAAUUCCCGAGCUCAACUCGGGAACUGCGUCCGAUACUGGCAGGCUUGAAUCCGGGAGAGGGAUGCGGAAUUCCAGGUGUAGCGGUGAAAUGCGUAGAUAUCUGGAGGAACACCGGUGGCGAAGGCGGCAUCCUGGACCGGCAUUGACGCUGAGGCGCGAAAGCCAGGGGAGCAAACGGG
rnacentral:rRNA from 1 species